rnacentral:rRNA from 1 species
AGGUGCUUUGUAGCAAUACGAAGUAUCCUAGUGGCGAACGGGUGAGUAACGCGUUGGUGACCUACCCCAAAGUGUGGGAUAACAGUCCGAAAGGAUUGCUAAUACCGCAUGUGGUCUCUGGAUUUAGAAACCGGUGACUAAAGGAGCAAUUCGCUUUGGGAGGGACCUGCGUCCCAUCAGCUAGUUGGUGAGGUAACGGCUCACCAAGGCGACGACGGGUAGGGGACCUGAGAGGGUGACCCCCCACAAUGGAACUGAAACACGGUCCAUACACCUACGGGUGGCAGCAGUAGGGAAUAUUGGUCAAUGGGCGAAAGCCUGAACCAGCAACACCGCGUGUGCGAUGAAGGCCUUCGGGUCGUAAAGCACUUUUCUGGGAGAUGAGAAAGGACAGUAUCCCAGGAAUAAGUCUCGGCUAACUACGUGCCAGCAGCCGCGGUAAAACGUAGGAGGCGAGCGUUAUCCGGAUUCACUGGGCGUAAAGCGCGUGCAGGUGGCUUGGUAAGUUAGGCGUGAAAUCUCCCGGCUCAACUGGGAGAGGUCGUCUAAUACUACCGGGCUUGAGAGCAGAAGAGGAAGAUGGAAUUCCCGGUGUAGUGGUGAAAUGCGUAGAUAUCGGGAGGAACACCAGUGGCGAAGGCGAUCUUCUGGUCUGUUUCUGACACUCAGACGCGACAGCUAGGGUAGUAAACGGGAUUAGAGACCCCGGUAAUCCUAGCCGUAAACGAUGUAAA